UUAGUUUUGGGUUGUUAAUGGAAUAUAACUACCGAAGUAGAAUGAUUCUGAAAAUAUUAUUGUCUAUAAUGUCACAACAAAAAAUGGAACCAGUUAAGUUCUCUCUGACACAAGAGAGUUACAACAUCUUAUCGUAAGGGUUUGUUUAAUCUUAGCGGAGGAAAACUUCAAACUCAGUUUCCAUUAUUGCAUAAUCACACGGUUCAGUCAUUUUAUAUACAAAACUUGUGGAUUUCAUCACCACUAACAUGUUCUGUUAUAUUUUGUUAUUUAAGUACUGACUGAGGAUGAAAACAAUGUCAAGGCUCUAUUUAGGAGAGGCAAGGCUAAGGCAUUUCAAAAGACAUGCAAGUAUGCCCCCUCAAGACAAAAUCAUUAAUUGAGGUUGCUUGCUGAACACGACAAAGUUGUUUAUCAAAAGCAGAAAGAACUAUACAAAGGAAUCUUUGAACCAAAGACCUAGUAAUAAGCGAAGUGAUAACUUGCUGAUUCUCAUUUGGCAAUGGUUGCUUUCACUAUUUUAUGGCUUUGUUAAUCUCUUCAAGCAUAAAAGCCCCAAAUCUGACUACUUGAAUUGAAAUGUUUUGAUGACUUAAUCAUUUCUAAGUAAGGGCCACGCCUUUUGCUUCUGAGAAUCACAUUAUCACGCCUUGCAUUGAUUCAAAUAUUCAUAUUAUCACUUUGCUGUUUUAUCUAGAAGCUGCUCCACAUGACUACAUCAAGGCUUCCGGUCUCAAGUGUAAAUAAUAUAUUUGGAUUGUAACAUAAUCAAGGAAUAAAACUAAGUUGUUAAGUAUUACUAAAAUAUUAGAAUAAUAAAGUGAUCUCUAGAGCAAUGUUAUGCUGCCUGUAAAUGUGACUUACAUGUUACUUUAUGUACAAUCAGAAGCUACUAUAAUAAUGUAGAAUGUUAGUGAUAUUGAUUCUUAGACAAUUCUGCUACAAGAGAAAAAUAUUCUCAAAAUUUGAUCAAAGAUGCAUGUAAUUCUUCUGCUCUGUGCUUCUAAGUUCUAACAAUCCAACUUAAGCUCAAGCCAUCAUUCCAAGUGCCAAAAAUGCCAAGAAAAGAAAACAGUAUUUGCUUUAAAUGGUAACAUUUUUUUAAGUCAGAAUCAUGAAUCUCUGACACUUUAUUUUUGGGUCAACAUAACAACUCCAAAUAAACUAUCAACAAAGUAUGAAACAACAAAUAAAAUGCAUUACUUCAUAUCUAAUUAAUCUUGUGCUUAGUGCUAAUAUAUCUUGUAUCCUUUAUCAUCAAAAGGAAAAGCAUAUAUAUAACAAGUAAAAAUUAGUUACUACCAAAGUUGCUUGGGCAUAGUCGUCCAAACAAAAUAAGCACAUACUAGUUGCUGGGAUAAGUACACAUAAACAGCAAAGGACAAACUCAUUAGAAACAAGUCUUCCCAAUCACCACCCUUUUGCUCUGGACUCAAAUAUUGCUUGGUCCUUCUUCUCCCAAACUUCUCAAAACCAUUCAACAGUGAUAAUAAUCUCAAUUUCACCAAGCUAUUAUUCUUGAGCCUUCAUCCAUCCAUGUCUUUCUUCUUUCCUUCUUGAGAAUUAUUGGAAUCAUUGGAGGGUCUUCUAACAUGGCAGGAAGAUACAAUAAUUCCAUUUGUGAGUUGAUGAGCAAGUAGUGCCUUUGUGAUGCAGCAAUAAUGGCCAACACUACUAAUGAGAGAUGCCAUGAAAAAGAGUUAAAAA